CACUAUCGUUAACUGAAUACAUAGGUUAACGAGGCGAACCGGGGGAACUGAAACAUCUAAGUACCCCGAGGAAAAGAAAUCAACCGAGAUUCCCCCAGUAGCGGCGAGCGAACGGGGAGCAGCCCAGAGUCUGAAUCAGCUUGUGUGUUAGUGGAACGGUCUGGAAAGUCCGACGGUACAGGGUGAUAGUCCCGUACACCAAAAUGCACAGGCUGUGAACUCGAAGAGUAGGGCGGGACACGUGGUAUCCUGUCUGAAUAUGGGGGGACCAUCCUCCAAGGCUAAAUACUCCUGACUGACCGAUAGUGAACCAGUACCGUGAGGGAAAGGCGAAAAGAACCCCGGCGAGGGGAGUGAAAAAGAACCUGAAACCGUGUACGUACAAGCAGUGGGAGCACCUUCGGGUGUGACUGCGUACCUUUUGUAUAAUGGGUCAGCGACUUAUAUUCUGUAGCAAGGUUAACCGUAUAGGGGAGCCGCAGGGAAACCGAGUCUUAACUGGGCGUUAAGUUGCAGGGUAUAGACCCGAAACCCGGUGAUCUAGCCAUGGGCAGGUUGAAGGUUGGGUAACACUAACUGGAGGACCGAACCGACUAAUGUUGAAAAAUUAGCGGAUGACUUGUGGCUGGGGGUGAAAGGCCAAUCAAACCGGGAGAUAGCUGGUUCUCCCCGAAAGCUAUUUAGGUAGCGCCUCGUGAACUCAUCUUCGGGGGUAGAGCACUGUUUCGGCUAGGGGGUCAUCCCGACUUACCAACCCGAUGCAAACUACGAAUACCGAAGAAUGUUAUCACGGGAGACACACGGCGGGUGCUAACGUCCGUCGUGAAGAGGGAAACAACCCAGACCGCCAGCUAAGGUCCCAAAGUCAUGGUUAAGUGGGAAACGAUGUGGGAAGGCACAGACAGCCAGGAUGUUGGCUUAGAAGCAGCCAUCAUUUAAAGAAAGCGUAAUAGCUCACUGGUCGAGUCGGCCUGCGCGGAAGAUGUAACGGGGCUAAACCAUGCACCGAAGCUGCGGCAGCGACACUAUGUGUUGUUGGGUAGGGGAGCGUUCUGUAAGCCUGCGAAGGUGACCUGUGAGGGUUGCUGGAGGUAUCAGAAGUGCGAAUGCUGACAUAAGUAACGAUAAAGCGGGUGAAAAGCCCGCUCGCCGGAAGACCAAGGGUUCCUGUCCAACGUUAAUCGGGGCAGGGUGAGUCGACCCCUAAGGCGAGGCCGAAAGGCGUAGUCGAUGGGAAACAGGUUAAUAUUCCUGUACUUGGUGUUACUGCGAAGGGGGGACGGAGAAGGCUAUGUUAGCCGGGCGACGGUUGUCCCGGUUUAAGCAUGUAGGCUGAUUAUCCAGGCAAAUCCGGAUAAUCAAGGCUGAGGUGUGAUGACGAGGCACUACGGUGCUGAAGUAACAAAUGCCCUGCUUCCAGGAAAAGCCUCUAAGCAUCAGGUAACAUCAAAUCGUACCCCAAACCGACACAGGUGGUCAGGUAGAGAAUACCAAGGCGCUUGAGAGAACUCGGGUGAAGGAACUAGGCAAAAUGGUGCCGUAACUUCGGGAGAAGGCACGCUGGUGUGUAGGUGAAGCCCCUGCGGGUGGAGCUGAGACCAGUCGAAGAUACCAGCUGGCUGCAACUGUUUAUUAAAAACACAGCACUGUGCAAACACGAAAGUGGACGUAUACGGUGUGACGCCUGCCCGGUGCCGGAAGGUUAAUUGAUGGGGUUAUCCGUAAGGAGAAGCUCUUGAUCGAAGCCCCGGUAAACGGCGGCCGUAACUAUAACGGUCCUAAGGUAGCGAAAUUCCUUGUCGGGUAAGUUCCGACCUGCACGAAUGGCGUAAUGAUGGCCAGGCUGUCUCCACCCGAGACUCAGUGAAAUUGAACUCGCUGUGAAGAUGCAGUGUACCCGCGGCAAGACGGAAAGACCCCGUGAACCUUUACUAUAGCUUGACACUGAACAUUGAGCCUUGAUGUGUAGGAUAGGUGGGAGGCUUUGAAGCGUGGACGCCAGUCUGCGUGGAGCCAACCUUGAAAUACCACCCUUUAAUGUUUGAUGUUCUAACGUUGGCCCCUUAUCGGGGUUGCGGACAGUGUCUGGUGGGUAGUUUGACUGGGGCGGUCUCCUCCCAAAGCGUAACGGAGGAGCACGAAGGUUAGCUAAUCCUGGUCGGACAUCAGGAGGUUAGUGCAAUGGCAUAAGCUAGCUUGACUGCGAGCGUGACGGCGCGAGCAGGUGCGAAAGCAGGUCAUAGUGAUCCGGUGGUUCUGAAUGGAAGGGCCAUCGCUCAACGGAUAAAAGGUACUCCGGGGAUAACAGGCUGAUACCGCCCAAGAGUUCAUAUCGACGGCGGUGUUUGGCACCUCGAUGUCGGCUCAUCACAUCCUGGGGCUGAAGUAGGUCCCAAGGGUAUGGCUGUUCGCCAUUUAAAGUGGUACGCGAGCUGGGUUUAGAACGUCGUGAGACAGUUCGGUCCCUAUCUGCCGUGGGCGCUGGAGAAUUGAGGGGGGCUGCUCCUAGUACGAGAGGACCGGAGUGGACGCAUCACUGGUGUUCGGGUUGUCAUGCCAAUGGCACUGCCCGGUAGCUAAAUGCGGAAGAGAUAAGUGCUGAAAGCAUCUAAGCACGAAACUUGCCCCGAGAUGAGUUCUCCCUGAGACUUUAAGUCUCCUGAAGGAACGUU
rnacentral:rRNA from 2 species